AAUCCAGUUCUCUGAGGGACCCCUGGGCCUCUUGGUUUUUGCUAGAGUAACUAUAGCAGCCUUAGCAAUUAAUUAUACUCUUAUUUCCUUUCUCAUAUUAGCCUAAAACCCUGACAAUCUAAGCUUUCUGAAGGGUAAUAGCCAGGAUUAGAAACCAUUUCCUGAUCCUGUUAGCCAAGGAGAUGGUGCUCAGCUAUAGGCAUGGCUGCCUGGAGACCCCCGCAAAUGGUCUCCCUCUUAUUACAUGCUGUUCUGAUGCUGAGGAGAGUUAAUUAAUGACUCUAAAUAAGAAAACAAUCAAAUCUGUCUGCAGUCAUAUGAGUCAGAGCGGACCCAGAUGGGGAGCCAGUCCUUGGCCUCCAAGUGCCCUGGGGGAAAGCAAUAGCAGCUUUUGCUCCAGACGUCAAAGCCCUACAAAA
rnacentral:lncRNA from 1 species